rnacentral:rRNA from 1 species
AAUCAACGCUGGCGGCGUGCCUCAGACAUGCAAGUCGAACGCGAAAGUCCCCUUCGGGGGACAAGUAGAGUGGCGCACGGGUGAGUAACACGUAGGUAAUCUACCUUCGGAUGGGGAAUAACAAUCGGAAACGGUUGCUAAUACCGCAUAAUGCAGCGGCACCUAAUGGUGACAGUUGUUAAAGCGGGGGAUCGAAAGACCUCGCGUCUGAAGAGGAGCCUGCGGCGGAUUAGCUAGUUGGUAAGGUAACGGCUUACCAAGGCGACGAUCCGUAGCCGGCCUGAGAGGGCGGUCGGCCACACUGACACUGACAUACGGGUCAGACUCCUACGGGAGGCAGCAGUCGGGAAUUUUGGGCAAUGGGCGAAAGCCUGACCCAGCAACCGCCGCGUGAAGGAUGAAAUCCCUCGGGU